rnacentral:rRNA from 1 species
UACGUAUGGUGCAAGCGUUGUUCGGAAUCAUUGGGCGUAAAGGGUAUGUAGGCGGAAUGAUAAGUCAGAAGUGAAAACUACGAGCUCAACUCGUAGCCUGCUUUUGAUACUGUUAUUCUAGAGUCUGGAAGGGGCAAGUGGAAUUCCUGGUGUAGCGGUGAAAUGCGUAGAUAUCAGGAGGAACACCAGUGGCGUAAGCGACUUGCUGGUCUAAGACUGACGCUGAGAUACGAAAGUGUGGGGAGCAAACGGG